UACGAAGGGGGCUAGCGUUGCUCGGAAUUACUGGGCGUAAAGGGCGCGUAGGCGGUUUGACAAGUCUGAUGUGAAAUCUCUGGGCUCAACCCAGAGUCUGCAUUAGAAACUGUCGGGCUUGAGUAUGGGAGAGGUGAGUGGAAUUUCCGGUGUAGCGGUGAAAUGCGUAGAUAUCGGAAGGAACACCUGUGGCGAAAGCGGCUCACUGGACCAUAACUGACGCUGAGGCGCGAAAGCUAGGGGAGCAAACAGG
rnacentral:rRNA from 1 species